AGAGUUUGAUCCUGGCUCAGGGUAAACGCUGGCGGCGUGCCUAAAACAUGCAAGUCGCACGCACUUUCGGGGUGAGUGGCAGACGGCUGAGUAACGCGUGGGUGACAUGCCCAUCGGUGGGGAAUAACUGCCCGAAAGGGUGGCUAAUACCGCGUACGUCUGCAGCUUCGUGGCUGCAGGGAAAGCUUUGAAAGAAGUGC
rnacentral:rRNA from 1 species